GACGAACGCUGGCGGCGUGCUUAACACAUGCAAGUCGAACGAAGUGGCGAACGGGUGAGUAACGCGUAAUCAACCUGCCCUUCCGAGGGGGACAACAGUUGGAAACGACUGCUAAUACCGCAUACUGAUGGAGGGGAUUGCGUGUGAUUUGCUAGUUGGAGGGGUAACGGCCCACCAAGGCGAUGAUCAGUCGCCGUGCUGAGAGGAUGAACGGCCACAUUUGGACUGUGGCACGGGCCAGACUCCUACGGGAGGCAGCAGUGGGGAAUCUUCCGAAAUGGACGAAAGUCUGACGGAGCAAAGCCGGGUGAGUUAUGACGGCCUUCGGGUUGUAAAGCUCUGUUAAUCGGGACGCGGUACCGGAAUAGAAAGCCACGGCUAACUACGUGCCAGCCGCCGCGGUAAUAC
rnacentral:rRNA from 1 species